GGCCUAACACAUGCAAGUCGAACGAGAUUAUACAGCUUGCUGGACUUGAAAGUGGCGCACGGGUGCGUAACGCGUAUGCAACCUACCUUGUUCAGGGGGAUAGCCCGGAGAAAUACAGAUUAACACCGCAUAACAUCACGCGGCAGCAUUGCCCUAUGAUCAAAUAUUUAUAGGAUUAAGAUGGGCAUGCGUGUCAUUAGCUAGUUGGCGGGGUAACGGCCCACCAAGGCUACGAUGACUAGGGGAUCUGAGAGGAUGACCCCCCACACUGGUACUGAGACACGGACCAGACUCCUACGGGAGGCAGCAGUAAGGAAUAUUGGUCAAUGGACGCAACUCUGAACCAGCCAUGCCGCGUGCAGGAAGACUGCCCUAUGGGUUGUAAACUGCUUUUGUCCGGGAAUAAACCUUGCUUCGUGUAUCAAGCUGAAUGUACCGGAAGAAUAAGGAUCGGCUAACUCCGUGCCAGCAGCCGCGGUAAUACGGAGGAUCCAAGCGUUAUCCGGAUUUAUUGGGUUUAAAGGGUGCGUAGGCGGCCUGUUAAGUCAGAGGUGAAAGACGGUAGCUCAACUAUCGCAGUGCCUUUGAUACUGAUGAGCUUGAAUGAACUAGAGGUAGGCGGAAUGAGACAAGUAGCGGUGAAAUGCAUAGAUAUGUCUCAGAACACCGAUUGCGAAGGCAGCUUACUAUGGUUUUAUUGACGCUGAGGCACGAAAGCGUGGGGAUCAAACAGGAUUAGAUACCCUGGUAGUCCACGCCCUAAACGAUGAAUACUCGAUGUUAGCGAUAU
rnacentral:rRNA from 1 species